rnacentral:rRNA from 1 species
GAGAGGGUGCAUGGCCGUCGUCAGUUCGUACUGUGAAGCAUCCUGUUAAGUCAGGCAACGAGCGAGACCCACGCCAACAGUUGCCAGCUCGUCCUCCGGGAUGGUGGGGACACUGUUGGGACCGCUCUGCUAAAGAGGAGGAAGGAAUGGGCAACGGUAGGUCAGCAUGCCCCGAAUUAUCUGGGCUACACGCGGGCUACAAUGGGUGGGACAAUGGGUAUCGACACCGAAAGGUGAAGGCAAUCUCCUAAACCCAUCCGUAGUUCGGAUUGUGGGCUGCAACUCGCCCACAUGAAGCUGGAAUCUGUAGUAAUCGUGUCUCAAAAUGGCACGGUGAAUAUGUCCCUGCUCCUU